GCCGAGGUAGCCUAGCCUGGCCAAGGCGCCUGCCUCGAGAGCAGGUGUCCUCACGGACUCGGGAGUUCAAAUCUCCCCCUCGGCG
rfam:Halorhabdus tiamatea SARL4B complete genome